CUUAGUCCUUCUCAAGUUGUAACAUCCCAAAAAUUUCAAACUUUUACAUGUGGAUUGCAUCCAUGAGCAUCAUGUCACAAUUGCAUAUUUGAAUUCAAAUUUUAUCUCAAAAGGCUUUAAAAGUUUUUAUUUCAAUUUAAACCUUAGGGUUCACACCCAUUUGAACUUUGGAUCUUCAAACCAAUAGGUUUUAUGCAUAUACAAGCUAUCCCAUAAUUUUUGGAUAAUUAUUUGGAGUUGAAAAAGUAUUUUAUUUAAAUAGAUAUAUGGCCCUAAAGGCAUUUAUAGGGCAAAUGUAUUUUUAUAUAUUUUAUUUUGAAGAGAAACUACUUCCAAAGGUUGUAUCAUGGUAGAACAUGAUUUUACAAAUUUUCUGGAAUUUAUUUGGACCAAUUUGGAGUUCAAACUCAAAAGCUAUCAAAGAAAUGCGAAAAACAGAAAAAGAAAAUGCUAAAAGAAAAAAAAGGGAGAACCGGACCGGUCCGACCGCUUGGGCCGAACCAGCCCCGAACCGAUCGCGCCCGACCACACGCGAGCCGGCCCAGCCAGCUUGGUACGCCCGCGUGCGUGCCGUUGCCACUGACAGGUGGGGCCCACCUGUCAGGGCCUUCGUUCCUGAAGGAAAGCGCCCGCGCCGCCGCCGCGAUUCCCGGCCGCCAUCCGCACGCGCUCCCCGCCGCAAUCUGCUCACCCCGACCUUCCC
rnacentral:lncRNA from 1 species